AACCUCGGCCUAAGUGUCACUAACAGUAACGUCACGGUGACUAUUGAUGAUAAAGAGUUAUAUUCUCCCCACCCAUGUACAUUUGCUACAUUGUUAGAACCGGAGGACUACGAUUUGACUAUUGGUGGGUUAUUAUUCGUUGGGAGUUUGACAGCACUGAAUCUCUGGGAUGCAACUUCUAAAGAUGUAGAGUUGUCUCCCGUAAAGAAAUGUUCAUAUGAUACACAAGGCACUCUGUUAUCAUGGAAAAAAUUUGAAGAAGUGGAUGGCCCCUUCGUUCGCAGCGUCAGUCAAUGCGAUGAUGUUGACAACUGUGCAAGUUCCCCUUGCCAGAAUUGGGGUACAUGUCUAGAUGGACCCAACAUCGUCACUUGCACGUGCAUGACUGGUUUCACGGAUGACAGGUGUAGCAGAAUAUGGAUUGCGAGUGGAACUCGUGUCAGAACGGCGCCACGUGCAUAGAUGGAGUAGAUUCCUUCACGUGUCAAUGCACUUCAAUGUUUAAUGGCGUUUUUUGCGAAAUUC